GGCGGGCCCGCCGAAGCAACUAAGGUACNGUAAACACGGGUGGGAGGUUGGCUCGCCUAGGAACCCUACACCUCGGGUAAUGACUCUUUCCGGUUAGGGGGCCUGCGGAAGGAUCAUUACCGAGUGUAGGGUUCCUAGCGAGCCCAACCUCCCACCCGUGUUUACUGUACCUUAGUUGCUUCGGCGGGCCCGCCAUUCAUGGCCGCCGGGGGCUCUCAGCCCCGGGCCCGCGCCCGCCGGAGACACCACGAACUCUGUCUGAUCUAGUGAAGUCUGAGUUGAUUGUAUCGCAAUCAGUUAAAACUUUCAACAAUGGAUCUCUUGGUUCCGGCAUCGAUGAAGAACGCAGCGAAAUGCGAUAACUAGUGUGAAUUGCAGAAUUCCGUGAAUCAUCGAGUCUUUGAACGCACAUUGCGCCCCCUGGUAUUCCGGGGGGCAUGCCUGUCCGAGCGUCAUUGCUGCCCAUCAAGCACGGCUUGUGUGUUGGGUCGUCGUCCCCUCUCCGGGGGGGACGGGCCCCAAAGGCAGCGGCGGCACCGCGUCCGAUCCUCGAGCGUAUGGGGCUUUGUCACCCGCUCUGUAGGCCCGGCCGGCGCUUGCCGAACGCAAAUCAAUCUUUUUCCAGGUUGACCUCGGAUCAGGUAGGGAUACCCGCUGAACUUAAGCAUAUCAAANCGGNGAAGGAAAAUCAUUAACGGAGUGGUUAGGGUUUCCUAGCCGAGCCAACCUCCCACCCGUGUUUACUGUACCUUAGUUGCUUCGGCGGGCCGCCAUUCAUGGCCGCCGGGGGCUCUCAGCCCCGGGCCCGCGCCCGCCGGA
rnacentral:rRNA from 1 species